GUGCCAGCCGCCGCGGUAAUACCGGCAGCCCGAGUGAUGGCCGAUUUUAUUGGGCCUAAAGCGUUCGUAGCCGGCCGGACAAGUCCGUUGGGAAAUCCACGCGCUCAACGCGUGGGCGUCCAGCGGAAACUAUCCGGCUUGGGGCCGGAAGACUCGAGGGGUACGUCCGGGGUAGGAGUGAAAUCCCGUAAUCCUGGACGGACCACCGGUGGCGAAAGCGCCUCGAGAAGACGGACCCGACGGUGAGGGACGAAAGCUAGGGUCACGAACCGGAUUAGAUACCCGGGUAGUCC
rnacentral:rRNA from 1 species